rnacentral:rRNA from 1 species
AUUGAACGCUGGCGGCAUGCUUUACACAUGCAAGUCGAACGGUAACAGGCCGCAAGGUGCUGACGAGUGGCGAACGGGUGAGUAAUGCAUCGGAACGUGCCCAGUCGUGGGGGAUAACGCAGCGAAAGCUGUGCUAAUACCGCAUACGAUCUAUGGACGAACGCGGGGGACCGUAAGGCCUCGCCCUAUUGGAGCGGCCGAUGUCAGAUUCGGUAGUGGGUGGGGUAAAGGCCUACCAAGCCGACGAUCUGUAGCUGGUCUGGGAGGACGACCAGCCACACUGGGACGGAGACACGGCCCAGACUCCUACGGGAGGCAGCAGUGGGGAAUUUUGGACAAUGGGCGCAAGCCUGAUCCAGCAAUGCCGCGUGCAGGAAGAAGGCCUUCGGGUUGUAAACUGCUUUUGUACGGAACGAAACGGUCUGGGUUAAUACCCUGGGCUAAUGACGGUACCGUAAGAAUAAGCACCGGCUAACUUCGUGCCAGCAGCCGCCGUAACAC